UGGGGAAUAUUGGACAAUGGGCGCAAGCCUGAUCCAGCCAUGCCGCGUGAGUGAUGAAGGCCUUAGGGUUGUAAAGCUCUUUCGCCGGUGAAGAUAAUGACGGUAACCGGAGAAGAAGCCCCGGCUAACUUCGUGCCAGCAGCCGCGGUAAUACGAAGGGGGCUAGCGUUGCUCGGAAUCACUGGGCGUAAAGCGCACGUAGGCGGAUCGUUAAGUCAGGGGUGAAAUCCUGGGGCUCAACCUCAGAACUGCCCUUGAUACUGGCGAUCUCGAGUUCGAGAGAGGUUGGUGGAACUCCGAGUGUAGAGGUGAAAUUCGUAGAUAUUCGGAAGAACACCAGUGGCGAAGGCGGCCAACUGGCUCGAUACUGACGCUGAGGUGCGAAAGCGUGGGGAGCAAAACAGGAUUAGAUACCCUGGUAGUCCACGCCGUAAAACGAUGGAUGCUAGCCGUUGGGGAGCUUGCUCUUCAGUGGCGCAGCUAACGCCUUAAGCAUCCCGCCUGGGGNGUACGGUCGCAAGAUUAAAACUUAAAUGAAUUGAC
rnacentral:rRNA from 1 species